ACAAUAAGAAGACACAUUGGCAGAAUAAAUUCAACGACACCUUUGUUUCAUCACAAAACCGGAGAGCAACAGCUGUCCUGUGGAGUCCACAAAGCAUAUUGCUUGCAACAAAUAGUUACAUGACCAAAAGCAUGGUCAAGCAAGUUAAUGUUUCCAUCAUUUUCAGACCACUAAUCAACUAUUGACUUUAGAACCACAGAGUUAAUGUAAGUCGCAAAGAAAACAGGAGCUGCCUCCACUUCUCCAGCACCAUUUCAACUUCAACAUGUCAACAUCAUCAAAUUACCCAUGCUUAAUCUAAUACAGUGACAACUAAAAUAUACCAAAAACAAUUUAGUUCAAGUAACAUAAGCUAAAUAUGAUGUGGCUGUACAUUUUUCUGAUUUAUGUGUGUGUGUGUGUGUGCAUGCGUGCGUGUGUGUUCGUGCAAGUAGAAAAAAACGGUCUAUCAAUCUGUCAUACAACACACACUUUUAUUUUUAGUUGUCUUAGGCUACCUAGCUAAAAUGCUUGCUCGCUAGCCUAACUUCCUUUCAUGGGCAAUGUUAGCGAGUUAACAUUAGCCUCCUACAGUACAUCUAGCUACAUAUUGAACUUCAAACCUCUCAGGACAGGGGCACAAUGUAUAAAUUAAUGGUUGGUUCAGAAUCUCCAUUAUAAUCGUUGGCCAGUAGGGAGAAUUAAGUAAAGCCACACGUAAAAAUCUCCAUCCAUGGCUAAUAUAGGAAAGGGUCAAUUUUAGCUAGGUAGCUAGCAACUCGAGGACAACAACAUAACGAGAAGCAACAAUUCAAGUUGUUUCUGUCAAUGACGUAUGCUCUUGGUGCGAUUUCAUAGGAGUGACGCCAAAUCCAAACUGGCUUCCCUAUAUACUUUUUUUGGUGUGCCAGGACCAUUCACAGUUGAGCUCACUCAGUUCAGCUCAACAAUGAUUGGCUAUUAUUUUAACCUUUUUUUUAUCAAGGGAGGCCAAAUGCUCGCUAUCAAGGGAGGCCAAAUGCUCGCUAGCUUCCCUUGCAUUCAAUGCUACGGGCGGCAACAAUGUCAUAUUCUUUUGGACCAGACAGCAUCAUAUAAAUGGCCUACACAUACAGAGACAAAUAUCGCUCGGAUGCUUUCUCCGGUGAGAUACAUUUAGCCUCUUGCAAAUUGAAGGACAAUUAGGAAACACAGAGAGCCGAAAGAUAAAGAUUUAAAAUAUGUAUCUGUCAAUUUUUGGGGGAAGCCUGGCUUCCCUUGGGAUCCUUGAAUUCCUGCCACUGCAUAUGAAGCUGUUCCCCAUCUCUGAGUUCUCUAUAUUACAUUAUUGUAUGUUAUGUGUUCCUGUACCCAACUGCCCUGUAAGGAGGAGUCAAUGCAUAACUCUGAGCUAUUCCAUCACUACUUAUCUCACUGCAGAGUGGAGGAGAAGCAUUGACUAGAUUGAGGAACAGAGACACAUCAUAACUACUAAUAAUUAAUCAUGACAUUUCCUAUUGUGGCUCUACUGAUGACAAUGGGCUUGACAGGUGAACACUAUUAGACUGUUUUUAUUUGAUACAGAAUGAUCACAGAGGUUUUGAGUCCAGAGAUUUUCUCUAAUGUUACUUUGUUUCCACAGGUGUUCGCAGUCAGACAUUGACUGAGUCUUGACCAGUGGUUAAAAAGCCUGGAGAAUCACACAAAUUCAUUAAGGAAUGCUGUGCCAUUAGCAAAAACAUUGAAACAAUUCAUUAUUGUGUUAUAAUAACAUGCUGUAAACAAAGAGAGAAUCAACAUUUCACUCAACUUUGUAUUUAAUUUCACAGUUCAUAAUGCAGGUUGGUUCAGCUUGUAACAGUCAAUCAAUUUAUUCAUUUUUAUACUAGUUAUUUACAGUGGUGGAACAAAUACCCAAUUGUCAUACUUGAGUAAAAGUAAAGAUACAUUCAUAGAAAAUGAGUCAAGUUAAAGUGAAAGUCAACCAAUACAAGCAUUUGGUAGGGAUGACCAGGGAUGUUCUCUUGUUAAGUACAUGACUCGGUCCACUUUCCUGUCAUGCUAGGCAUUCAAAACGUAACGUGUACUUUUGGGUGUCAGGGAAAAUGUAUGGAAUAAAAAGUACAGACAUUUACUUAGGAAUGUAAAAUGAUAAGUUUUAAAAAGUAUAAAUAGUAAAGUACAAAUACCCCAAGAGACUAGUUAAGUAUUUUUACUUAAGUCUUUUACACCACUGGUUAUUUAUUUGGACUCUACUUAUACUAAUAAGUGCCAUACUGUUUGUGCUUGUACUUGAUUCAUCACAUACAUAUAGGGUUUUUGUACUGGUCUGUUGGUGGUUUGUAUCACUGUGGCCACCGAGCACAAUAGUACACAGCUGUGUCUUCAGUCUGCAGAUUCUGUCCUUUUAAAAACACUGUGUUGCUGGAAGUGUCUCUUGUGACACUGAACCUGUCUUUUAGGGAACUUUGAGAUCUUGAGCUUCCAUCAUAAUAGAUGGUCCAAAUCCAUUCAAGUGCUUUUCCUACAGGCUGACGGAUCCAGCCGAUUCCAUAGACGUUGCUGCUAUCAGUCAGAGAAUAACCAGAGACCUUACAGGUGAUGCUCAAAGACUCUCCAGGCUUUACAUCCAAUGAGCUUGGUUGGGUGAGCUCAAGACCACAGUGCACACCUGUCAAUGGAAGAAUUAGAAUGAAAACAAUCUAUGGAUUUACAGAGUAGUCAGAAAAGUAAUUUAACAGUUGAAUAUAUUGAUAUAGAACUGCAAAUAAAAUGUUCAGUUUCAAAAACAAAUCUAAGGAGACUCACAUGAUGCAGCUACAAGCAGCAGCAGCAGAGAUGCAGGGAACAUGGUUUGUAUUCAAGCUGGGUUGGUUCGAUGCUGGAUUCUUAACUCUUACUGAAAGAAAGACAGACACUCCACUUUAUAUAGACAAAAGGAAUUUAACUUUGCAUAGACCUGAGAGAGUUAACCCCAUGGAGAUGCAAAUAUAUUCUGUGUACCAAGAGCCAAUGUCUCCUCCCAUUACAAUAGUCUGCUAUAAUAACUGACCCCCAGAGACUAUCUCCCUAAUUCACAACUGUCAUUUUCAGUCUACACCUUUGUUUCAAAAAUCUUAGAACAUCCCCUGUGUAAUGGCUGUUGGUGGAAGAAGGUGAGGACCAAAGCGCAGCGUGGUACGUGUUCAUGUUAUUUAUUAAACUGAAGACUAAAUACAACAAGUAACAAAAGAACAACCGAAACAGCUCCGUCAGGUACAAAACAGAAAUUAACUACCCACAAAACCCCUGUGGGGAAAAGCUACCUAAGUAUGGUUCUCAAUCAGAGACAACGACAGACAGCUGUCCCUGAUUGAGAACCAUACCGGACCAAACAAAGAAAUACAACACUAGAGAAUGAACAUAGAAUGCCCACCCUAGUCACACCCUGGCCUAACCAAAUUAGAGAAUAAAAACCUCACUAUGGCCAGGGCGUGACACCCUGUCACAAGAUUUUCUAUCUCAAUGUUCUAACUGAACUAUUUUAUAACUCCAUCUGUAUCCUAGAGGUUGUAAGACUCUAAGUUGUAAUAAACAGACAGAGUCCCAGCAUACAAAUGAUCAGUUCUUUAUUCAGAGAGCUCUGCCCUUCUAGUGCAGAGCUAGUCUUUUUACACACACACACACACACACACACACACACACACACACACACACACACACACACACACACACACACACACACACACACGUUUAUUUAUCAAGUUUACUUAUCAUGGGCUACUCCAUAGUCGGACAGGCUGAACUUUUCCACUAUCCAGGGUGAGGACAGAAUCUUCUGUUAUUGGUUUCACAGUUGCACAAGUUGUCUGUCCAUAGCUCAUCUUAUCCUUUGUUGUCAUAACUACACCCUGCUUACAUAGCUAAAAAUAAACACAAUGUCCUAAUUCUAUCCUGCCUAAGCCGCACACAUGAUCAACUUAUAGUCUUAUGUGUCUAAUGGAUUUCACACAAAGUGAUACAGUUUCAGGGUGAAAUAUCUUAGUCAUUACUUUAAACACAAAUUCUUCUAUCAAUCCACCCAUUGACUAAAUAUUACACACACAAGAUAAAUGUUUUUAAUUAAUUAAUUAAUUCCUCAACUUAAGGGGUUAGUUCUAUCCCUACUUCUAGUUAUAGCUCUUCACUUUUUAGGAUUUUCACUACAACCUUCACACAUCAGAAUUAAGAAAAUUGUAGGUCAUCAGGAUCGAAUGAAUCAGCAUCGUCCACAAGGCCCGGAGGCAUGUAGCAUUCACCCCAUUGGUCGGAAUCUGGAAUUGGUCCAAACCUCACCGUCUGCUGAGUUACCGCAUUCUCCAGUGCCUUAUUCACCAACUCUCGGACAAAAAAAUAAAUAAAUCUCUAUUGCAUAAUCUUAAUUUACCACUUCAUGUCUAAAAGUGUUUGUGUUGUUUCCAGGUGAACCAUCCUUGGAGCUCCUUCUAGUCCCCAGUGAGGAGCCGUCAGGCUCAGGGACCCAGAAACUCAUGUGUUCUGGGUGGGGCUUCAACCCUCAGAUCAAGUGGCUCUCUGGGUCUGAACAGAGGUCUGCAGCAGCCUAUGAGAGAAGGAUGGGGGAAGACGGACAUGUGGCACUAACCAGUUAUAUCACAGUAACACAGCAGGAUUGGAACCAGGGUAUGGUCUUCACCUGUGAGGUCAUCGACACGGAUCUUCAGAAAACUACAAGGAAGAGCACCAGUUUAUGUACAGACAAAAUGAUGACUUCAGGACACUUCCAUAUGAUGGAUCCCUAGGAGUUCAACUGGAAAUGAAACCAUUUAUUUCAACCUUUUCUUAUACAAUCACAACACGUUUCUUAAGAAAAUUGCAUAGUUUGAAUUUCUUACGGUUACCUGUUGCAGGUUUGAUGACAGGGAAGUGUUCUUGUUUUUAUUCCCCACAAAGACAGACAAUGUGGAGGUGUGCUUACUUGCUCUCAUUUCUUGAUAAAACGCUAUAGAAUUUUUGAGCAGAGAUAAAAAUAGAUAUUUAACCACUACUAAAUAAAGCAUACCAUAGCAGUUAUUGCUGAAUUAUCUUCUGAUAAUAAAACAUGAUUUCAAACUA